GCUGUAACAGGAUAUCAGUUAUUAAGAGGUUUUGAGAAUAAAAAGCCUAAUUGGAAGAUUGUCAAGACACAUCAUCAAAACAAUGGAUGGGCGUGUGGAUAUUAUGUAAUGAAGAACAUGUUUGAUAUUGUUGAUACUUCCAUUGUUGAAAGAUUCGAUGAGAUAUUUACAGACACGUCACCAUAUGAAAAAGAGACAAUCGACCAUAUUCGGCAACUUUGGGCUCAAGUAUUUUUGCAAAUGGUUGAAAAUUAAAAGGUUGAGGAUCAAAAGGUUGAGGAGCAAAAUCUACCCGAUCAAAUGCAAAUGGUUGAAGAGGAUAAGGAGAUAGAAAUGUUGCCAAAACAAAAGCCAAAGAAGAAGAAGAAGAAGAAAACUUAUAUAUGAAGAAAGUGUUAUGACUUAGUUAAAAUA